rnacentral:rRNA from 1 species
CCUUACUCUCGCUGUUAUUCAAAAAAGAAAAGACUUACUAUACAGAGUCUCGUAGCUCAGCUGGUUAGAGUACUACACUGCUAAUGUAGGGGUCGGCAGUUCGAGUCUGCCCGGGACUACAAACAAAUUUGAAAAUUGAUUAAUUUGAAAAUUUGAAAAUGAUUUAAGUUAAAAAGGAAAUUCUAGGGGUUGAGAGGUUAUGAAUACUCAUAACUCAUAACUAAUAACUCAUCACUAAGAUUGGGGGAUUAGCUCAGCUGGCUAGAGCGCCUGCCUUGCACGCAGGAGGUCAUCGGUUCGACUCCGAUAUUCUCCACUAUUCGAGUGAAUAGUAAAGAGUAAAAAGUGAAAAGUAAUUAACUAAUCACUAUUUACUUAUCACUAAAAAAAAGUAAAUUGUCCUUUGGCGUUUUGCGUUCAACCUACUAACAAGAACACUUAACCCUUUAGUACUUAGUGAAUAGUAAUUAGUCUUAGGGCUAGGGGCUAGUCACUAAUAACUAAUCCCUAAUCACUGAAAACAGUAAGCAAUAUGCGGGCUUAGGGGGUAUGCCUAAUGCCUAGA